rnacentral:rRNA from 1 species
CAAGUCGAGCGGAUGAGAAGAGCUUGCUCUUCGAUUCAGCGGCGGACGGGUGAGUAAUACCUAGGAAUCUGCCUGGUAGUGGGGGACAACGUUUCGAAAGGAACGCUAAUACCGCAUACGUCCUACGGGAGAAAGCAGGGGACCUUCGGGCCUUGCGCUAUCAGAUGAGCCUAGGUCGGAUUAGCUAGUUGGUGAGGUAAUGGCUCACCAAGGCGACGAUCCGUAACUGGUCUGAGAGGAUGAUCAGUCACACUGGAACUGAGACACGGUCCAGACUCCUACGGGAGGCAGCAGUGGGGAAUAUUGGACAAUGGGCGAAAGCCUGAUCCAGCCAUGCCGCGUGUGUGAAGAAGGUCUUCGGAUUGUAAAGCACUUUAAGUUGGGAGGAAGGGCAUUAACCUAAUACGUUAGUGUUUUGACGUUACCGACAGAAUAAGCACCGGCUAACUCUGUGCCAGCAGCCGCGGUAAUACAGAGGGUGCAAGCGUUAAUCGGAAUUACUGGGCGUAAAGCGCGCGUAGGUGGUUCGUUAAGUUGGAUGUGAAAUCCCCGGGCUCAACCUGGGAACUGCAUCCAAAACUGGCGAGCUAGAGUAGGGCAGAGGGUGGUGGAAUUUCCUGUGUAGCGGUGAAAUGCGUAGAUAUAGGAAGGAACACCAGUGGCGAAGGCGACCGCCUGGGCUCAUACUGACACUGAGGUGCGAAAGCGUGGGGAGCAAACANGAUUAGAUACCCUGGUAGUCCACGCCGUAAACGAUGUCAACUAGCCGUUGGAAUCCUUGAGAUUUUA